ensembl:lncRNA
ACCUGCAUCCGGGAGGAAAGGCAACGUUUUGCGUCUAGAUUUGCUUUGUUUUCUUUCGUCGCCGCUUUUCUUUCACAUUUCCUUGCGCCUCUGGCCCUUGAGCGACAAAAAGGGGAAGCCAAGGCUGGCCCGAGGAAAGGAGAGGGCAUAUGGCCUAGCCACGAGUGGAGCGCCUGCUCCGCCGGAAGGGAUGCGCUGGAGCGGCGUUUUCCUUCCGCCACGGUCUUUCUAUGCCAACUCGUAGGUGAGGGCCGAAAGGCCGUGGGCGGUGGAGCUUGGGCCUGGGAGACUUGUUUCCAGCCUCUUGGGUCCCGCUCCUCCCAAUUCCCUGGAGAGGCGUGUAGCUUCCUGGGAAAUGCCGUCGGGUAAGGGGCGCGGAGCCUCCUGCGGCGAUCCUCUGUCUUCGGGUCGCCUUAGCAGGACGCGGCAAGAAGACACUGACCUGGCCGCAGUCCCGCGCUCUCCCACCAGCUGCUUCGUCCACCAGGAGCUGCGGGGCGUCAGGGAUCCAACGGCCCUGAGGGAUCUAGAGCAGGGGGGCUCGGGGUUCUCCUUUCCAUACCCUCGGAUCCUCUCCCACUCUUUCCACGCCUCGACCCGAAGAUAAUCUCAGGCUCCAGAUAUCUUUCAUAAAUGGAAAGAGCUUUCCUGAUAUGCUUCUACAUACACCUUUAUGCAUUUGCUUGAACAUUUCCCUGAGAACAACCAGAAAUGGAAUUGCCAAAUUACUUUGUGUACAUAUUUCCAAACUGUCCUCCAGAAAGAAUGUAAUGCUUUGAUCUUCCACUUGAGAAUCAAAUGUUUUACCUUCCUCUGUUCCUCCAGAUUUGGACAUUUACAGUGUUCAGCCUUUGUUGUGGCAUUCCAGUUCAACUGGGAAACAGCUUGAUGUAGCGUCCCCAGGUCCACAGUAAUACAUAUUAAACUUUUUUUUUUUUGGUGCAGUGCUGCAAUUUCGUGGCUCACUGCAACCUCCACCUCCCAGGUUCAAGCGAUCCUCCCACCUCAGCCUCCCUAGUAGCUGGGAUUACAGGUGCAUGCCACCACACCAGGCUAAGUUUUAUAUUUUUAGUAGAGAUGGGGUUUUACCAGGUUAGCCAGGCUGGUCUUGAACUCCUGACCUCAAGGGAUCUGCCUGCCUCAGCCUUCUUCCAAAGUGCUGGGAUUACAGGCAGAGACUGGACCUCAGAAGAGGGAGUGGGUGCCCCGAGAACUCACUGCUGGCGGACAGCGGAAAGGGCAGCUGCCGGACCAAGGUGAGGACAACGGAAGUGAAGGCCACUGGCUACCUCUCCUGCCCUCCGCUGGCCGCAUUGGAGAACUGCACCAGGAAGAAGACAGCCCCUCCCUUCCGCUCUGACCUGACAGUGUUCCUCCAUCGCCCUCUAUUGGAGAAGAACAACAUCAAGCUGGCUAGCAAGGAACUGCGUAGAGUCCCGCUGGGUAUCACGCUGGAUCUCACCCAAAGCUGAGAUGUUAUCCAGCUCAGUAUCACAGAGCAGAACGAAAAGGAUGUGUUUGGGCUGAGAGGCCAUACAUUGGUAACUGGCACAUGAACUGUAUUUUCUAUUGAGCAUUGCUGGUAUAUGGCAAGUUUGCAUACAAUUAUAUUGAAAUUGACCACCU